rnacentral:rRNA from 1 species
AUGGAGAUGGUGUCAGUGUUCUCCACUAGCAAGAAAAUGGGAGCGAGUGAGGGGGCACUUACACCAGGGGAGGAUCUUCCAGCGCUGGUUGUCGCCCUCACACCACUUCCACAGCACGAGGGAGGUGCCGUCGCGCACGCCGCCGUGCUCCUUGUCGCCGUGGAGAGCGUCAAAGUUGAGGCGGAUGUUGUUCACCAUGCGAAUGCAGCGGAAGCCCUUGCCGACGUCGCCGCUCUCCGUCCACAUCACGGACUCGUCGAGGUACUCCGGGUUGAAUGGCACGAGCUUCACCUGCACACCCAAACAAAUCAUUCCACUUCCAUUACUGAUAAUAAGCACUAA